CCUACGGGUGGCAGCAGUGGGGAAUAUUGCACAAUGGGGGAAACCCUGAUGCAGCGACGCCGCGUGAGUGAAGAAGUAACUCGUGAUGGAAAGCUUUUUCAGCAGGGAAGAAAAUGACGGUACCUGAGCCAGAAGCCCCGGCUAACUACGUGCCAGCAGCCGCGGUAAUACGUAGGGGGCAAGCGUUAUCCGGAUUUACUGGGUGUAAAGGGAGCGUAGACGGCAGUGCAAGUCUGGAGUGAAAGGCGGGGGCUCAACCCUCGGACUGCACUGGAAACUGUACGGCUGGAGUGCAGGAGAGGUAGGUGGAAUUCGUGGUGUAGCGGUGAAAUGCGUAGAUAUUACGAAGAACACCAGUGGCGAAGGCGGCUUACUGGACUGUAACUGACGUUGAGGCUCGAAAGCGUGGGGAGCAAACAGGAUUAGAUACCCGGGUAGUC
rnacentral:rRNA from 1 species